UACGUAGGGUGCGAGCGUUGUCCGGAAUUAUUGGGCGUAAAGAGCUCGUAGGCGGUUUGUCGCGUCGGCCGUGAAAACUUGGGGCUUAACCCCAAGCCUGCGGUCGAUACGGGCAGACUUGAGUUCGGCAGGGGAGACUGGAAUUCCUGGUGUAGCGGUGAAAUGCGCAGAUAUCAGGAGGAACACCGGUGGCGAAGGCGGGUCUCUGGGCCGAUACUGACGCUCAUGCACGAAAGCGUGGGGAGCAAACAGG
rnacentral:rRNA from 1 species